CGCGGCCUAUCAGCUUGUUGGUGGGGUAGUGGCCUACCAAGGCGACGACGGGUAGCCGGCCUGAGAGGGUGACCGGCCACACUGGGACUGAGACACGGCCCAGACUCCUACGGGAGGCAGCAGUGGGGAAUAUUGCGCAAUGGGCGAAAGCCUGACGCAGCGACGCCGCGUGGGGGAUGACGGCCUUCGGGUUGUAAACCUCUUUCAGCAGGGACGAAGCGAAAGUGACGGUACCUGCAGAAGAAGCACCGGCCAACUACGUGCCAGCAGCCGCGGUAAUACGUAGGGUGCAAGCGUUGUCCGGAAUUAUUGGGCGUAAAGGGCUCGUAGGCGGUUUGUUGCGUCGGCUGUGAAAUCCCGAGGCUCAACCUCGGGUCUGCAGUCGAUACGAGCAAACUAGAGUGUUGCAGGGGAGACUGGGAUUCCUGGUGUAGCGGUGAAAUGCGCAGAUAUCAGGAGGAACACCGGUGGCGAAGGCGGGUCUCUGGGCAACAACUGACGCUGAGGAGCGAAAGCGUGGGGAGCGAACAGGAUUAGAUACCCUGGUAGUCCACGCCGUAAACGUUGGGCGCUAGGUGUGGGGCUCAUUCCACGAGUUCCGUGCCGCAGCUAACGCAUUAAGCGCCCCGCCUGGGGAGUACGG
rnacentral:rRNA from 1 species